rnacentral:rRNA from 1 species
GACGAACGCUGGCGGCGUGCUUAACACAUGCAAGUCGAACGGAAAGGCCCUGCUUUUGUGGGGUGCUCGAGUGGCGAAAGGGUGAGUAACACGUGAGUAACCUGCCCUUGACUUUGGGAUAACUUCAGGCAACUGGGGCUAAUACCGGAUAGGAGCUCCUGCUGCAUGGUGGGGGUUGGAAAGUUUCGGCGGUUGGGGAUGGACUCGCGGCUUAUCAGCUUGUUGGUGGGGUAGUGGCUUACCAAGGCUUUGACGGGUAGCCGGCCCGAGAGGGUGACCGGCCACAUUGGGACUGAGAUACGGCCCAGACUCCUACGGGAGGCAGCAGUGGGGAAUAUUGCACAAUGGGCGGAAGCCUGAUGCAGCAACGCCGCGUGCGGGAUGACGGCCUUCGGGUUGUAAACCGCUUUCGCCUGUGACGAAGCGUGAGUGACGGUAAUGGGUAAAGAAGCACCGGCUAACUACGUG